GCGGAAGUGGCGGAAUUGGUAGACGCACCAGAUUUAGGUUCUGGCGCCGCAAGGUGUGAGAGUUCAAGUCUCUCCUUCUGCA
rnacentral:tRNA from 17 species